CCUGCAGGAGGGGGCAGGAUCAGGGCGGAGUUAGCCCUAGUCUUGAACCGCAUCCUUUCACUUUAUUCCUCACCCCUGGUGAACAGUGCGGACUGAACCAUACUUCCUGUGUCUCACCCCCAACUCAGGCAGCAGCAGCCAUCCUGCAUCAGCCUAUAUACCCAGGCUUACGACCACGGAUACCACACUCUCAUCUGCAUGCCUCGACCUCAGACACACCUGGCUCUCUGAGAUGCUAUCAGCCAUUUAAUUGGAUGACUACAUCCUGGUUCCCGCAUGGAAAGAGCGCUUCAUCUUACAUUCCCUGCUCUCAUGGGACAUGCUCCCUCAGAGCGUCUCACUCCUACCAAGUCAACUACCAUUCAAACUCCCUCAUCUGCAUAUAUCUAGCAUAUAUGGGACUGGUGCUACGGGCCACACUCCCUUAUCUAUAUGCCCCACCCCCACAUCAGUGGAUACCCAGUUCAACAACUCAGAAACCCUUAUUCCCACUGGGACAAACGAUGAUUUCCUAGUUCCUCUUUUAUACAUAUUCCUGCCUUUCAGGGGAAACCAUGAUGCAGGUCACACUCCCUCAUCUGUAUGCCCCACCUUUGGGUAAAACAUAGCUUCCGGGUAAAACAUUUACUUCUGGCACAAUUUCCAAGCGCUCAAGUAGACAUUCCAGCUCAUUAAGGGGCCACUGCUACAAGCUACUCUGCUUCUGACUGAAACAUGGCUUCCAAGCCGCACCCCACAAGGCCAACUAGGGAUGCUUCCCUCCGGUGCUUCGGACCACCCUUUGCAGGCCCUGCUCUUUGUCCAGGUAGUAGAGGCAGCCACCCCUUAUGUGCAUGCCUAACUCUGCCACCAGAAGUCACCAUAUCAUGCUUCCAAACAUUCAUCUUUAAUUGGGUCAGAUGUAGCCAAGCUCACAUGCUCCUUUCCUGCAACAGGUCCCUCCCCUCAAAAGAGGAGGAGUAUAGAGAAGUGGCUAAAAGCCAACCAAACCUGGGAGCCAGACUGCCUGGUUUUGAUAUCUCCUCUGCCCCUUACCAGCUCUGUCACCUCAGGCCUGAGUGGCUCACCAGGGACUGGAACCACACCUUCCUCCACCUGGGACCAUGCGAAACAGCUGCAACACUGCUGAAAGGCCCUGCCCAUCUCCAGGGGCUGCAUACCUCUCCAAGGCCCUCUUCCCCUCCAGCAGGGCCAUCUUCUGAUCCUGAAGCCCCACCCCCAGUCAUCCUGCCUCCCAGGGCCCAGCACCAUGAGCCACCCUCCCACCCAAAGACUUCAAGUAUGGCCACACCCCCAAAAGGGCCAUCUCUCCCACUUUUUGCAGACCACUGCCAGCCCAGCCAACACCCUUGGCCUCUGGCUUUAAGUCUCCCUUGUCCCUCCUCAUCUCCUGUCUUUGAGCCUUGGAUUCCUCUUGCUUCUUCCCCUAAAUAUCCAGUUGCUAGGGGCUCCCCCCUUUUCAAGGACAGAGGCGGGCUCCUUAAGGAAGCUUGGGCCCAUGUGUCUCUAAUUGGCUGCAAGACCAGAGCAAGCAGCUGAGCAGGCUUCUGGUUGGAUGUCACCUCCGCCCAUGGCAGCAGCGAGGAAGUUAACCCCUGCAGUGCCACAGUGCAGGCAUCUGCAAUGGAGUUCCUGAAUGAAGAACAGAAACUGAGGCCCUGAGGAGAAGGGAAAAGUCCCCAGCUGAGGACAGGGGACCAUCAACAUCAGUAUAUAUUCAAGGUUUGGGGCCUUGAACCUUCCCCCAUCCUGCCAGAUGGUAGCCAUGGGUCAAAAAGAAGCAAAGAAACAGGUGGAGACUCACAAAAACUGAGUCAUUUACAGAAAUGUAUUAUCCACCUCCCCUCCACCCUGCCUGGCAAACAGUAGGUGUUCAGUAAGUGUGUGUCUGCAUAAAAAGGACAGCUCUGCUAUUCCUGUGUGACCAAGAGGAAGUGCCUUUCUCCACUGAGCCUCAGUUUCUCUGUUAUAAAAUGAGGAGAGGUCAGGGGAGGCAUGGCAGAGCACUUGCCUAAUACACAGGCCACCAGGCAUCACAAUCCUCAGCACCACAAAAAAAUCAGCAAAUCAAAUCAGCAGGGGGAUGCCGCCUGCUUUGCAACAGAGCUAGGAGUCAGCUGCCGGCUCUGGAGGUGUCUUAUGAAGCUCUUUGUCUCAUUCAUUGUCUACUCUUGGGACACUGGGCCAGUCUAUCUCAGUGGGCCCUGGGACCAGCACAGGGUCUGACACACAGUAGGCAUUUACUCAGUGUUUGGUGACCAGAAUUAAGAAGACAAAAAUGAGGAAAACAGACAAGGGGAAAGAGAGGCAUGUAUGCAUGCAGCCAGCAGUGGGAAUGGGCCUGCUCCAUGCCAAGACCGUGGCCCAGGGAGCCAGCCGAGGAUGGGGAGCAAAAGCCAGGCCUUUCUGAGAAGGUUUCCGCAUUCCCAACAGCCAGAGCUACCCACAGUAGGGAAUGGCUCUGGCCACUUUGGCAUCCACAAGUACAGUUAAGCGCGAGGCAGGCACUCAGCAGCCCCUCUGCAGUGUGCACGAGGGAGAAGCAUCUGUGAAGCCAACGGCUGUUCAUGAAAUGCCCACUGUGUGCCCAUCUGUAGCCAAGAGUCAUACUGAAAACUACCACGAUGGAGAGACACUGUGGGGCCAUGACAGUGAUUUGUGGUGCAUGUAGGGCCCUGAAGGCAAGGACUGGAUCUCUUGGUCUCCUUGGGUCCCCAACACCCAGUUCAGGGCCUAGCACAGAGCAAAGUCUAAGUGCCUUCAUGAGGAGAGAGAGAAGGUAGAGCAGAUGGAGAGAUGCAAGCAGGGAAGUAGGAGACAAUGGGAGGAAGUAACUCCUUUGUCUGUCCACGCCAUCACACCAGGACAGUGACUUCCAACCCACGGGAGGGUGGAAAUAACUUAUAUUUUUGUCAUGCAUUUUGUUUUCUAGGCUGGGGUUGUAGUUCAGUGGUAGAGCGUUGCCUAGAAUGUGUAAGAUACUGGGUUCGAUUCUCAGCACCACAUAUAAAUAAAUAGAAUAAAAGUCCAUUUUUUCUGUAUGAUGUACCCAA